GUCAGAAUGGCCGAGCGGUCCAGGGCGCUGCGUUUAAAUCGCAGUCUUUUCUGGAGGCGUGGAUUCGAAUCCCACUUCUGACA